rnacentral:snRNA from 1 species
UUUGAUUUUAAACAUUAACUUUAAUAAAAUUUUAAAAUCUGUUCUUAUCAGUUUAAUAUCUGCUAUGUCCUUUAUUUGAGGACUGUAUAUUAAAUUGAUUUUUGAAACAGGGGGAUGGAAUAGGAGCUUGCUCUGUCCACCCCAUGCAUUGACCUGGUAUUGCAGUGCCUCCAGGAACGGUGCAUCUCCU